rnacentral:rRNA from 1 species
UGGGGAAUAUUGCACAAUGGGCGCAAGCCUGAUGCAGCGACGCCGCGUGAGGGAUGAAGGCCUUCGGGUUGUAAACCUCUUUCGUCAGGGAACAAGGCACUGUCUUUUUGGUGGUGUUGAGGGUACCUGGAUAAGAAGCGCCGGCUAACUACGUGCCAGCAGCCGCGGUAAUACGUAGGGCGCAAGCGUUGUCCGGAAUUAUUGGGCGUAAAGAGCUCGUAGGCGGCUGGUCGCGUCUGUCGUGAAAACUUCCGGCUCAACCGGGGGCUUGCGGUGGGUACGGGCCGGCUAGAGUGCGGUAGGGGUAACUGGAACUCCUGGUGUAGCGGUGGAAUGCGCGGAUAUCAGGAAGAACACCGAUGGCGAAGGCAGGUUACUGGGCCGUUACUGACGCUGAGGAGCGAAAGCGUGGGGAGCGAACAGGAUUAGAUACCCUGGUAGUCCACGCCGUAAACGUUGGGCACUAGGUGUGAGGCUCCUUUCCGGGGGUUUUGCGCCGUAGCUAACGCAUUAAGUGCCCCGCCUGGGGAGUACGGCCGCAAGGCUA